GCAUGCAGCCGGACCGGCCCGCGUGCGAGUUCACGGGGCUGCCGUCAGUCGCGUUCGCCGUCGUCACCGAAAGGGUCGGCGGUGGGCUCCGGCUCUCGGCACCCCUGCACUCUCGGUGCUUCGGGCCGGCCAAGCGCGGCGGGAUCCGGGCGACGAGCUCGGUCGGGCAGGUAGCGCAGCCGCCUGGCGGAGGCGAACUUAUAGCCGGCCGAACGGAGCGUCCGGGACCCGCCGAGGAGAGCGGUGGCACUUCCACCCAAGCAGCGCAGGCCGCUCGUCGGCGGGGGCUCUCUGGCUCGUUGGCGAGCCGCUCCGCGUCACUGCGUGCAGUGGCCGGGGACGGUGCGCCUCCGGGUCGGGGGUAGCUCACUCCUUGCGCUCGGGCCGCUUGGCCUGACGUCGGCUGCAUCCGA
rnacentral:rRNA from 1 species